rnacentral:rRNA from 1 species
UGAGCAAUCUGCCCUUCUCAUCGGAAUAAGCGUUGGAAACGACGUCUAAUGCCGAAUACGACCUCCUUUCGCAUGAUCGGAGGUGGAAAGCUCCGGCGGAGAAGGAUGAGCUCGCGGCCUAUCAGCUAGUUGGUGAGGUAACGGCUCACCAAGGCAACGACGGGUAGCUGGUCUGAGAGGAUGGCCAGCCACAUUGGGACUGAGACACGGCCCAGAUCCUACGGG